rnacentral:rRNA from 1 species
UACGGGAGGCAGCAGUGGGGAAUAUUGCACAAUGGGCGAAAGCCUGAUGCAGCUAUGCCUCGUGUAUGAAGAAGGCCUUAGGGUUGUAAAGUACUUUCAUCGGGGAGGAAAAAACAAAACUAAUAAUUUUAUUUCUUGACGUUACCCGAAAAAGAAGCACCGGCUAACUCCGUGCCAGCAGCCGCGGUAAUACGGAGGGUGCUAGCGUUAAUCAGAAUUACUGGGCGUAAAGAGCACGUAGGUGGUUUUUUUAAAGUCAGAUGUGAAAUCCCUGGGCUUAACCUAGGAACUGCAUUUUGAAACUGAAAUACUAGAGUAUCGUAGAGGGAGGUAGAAUUCUAGGUGUAGCGGUGAAAUGCGUAGAUAUCUGGAGGAAUACCUGCGGCGAAAGCGGCCUCCUAAACGAAUACUGACACUGAGGUGCGAAAGCGUGGGGAGCAAACAGGGAUUAGAUACC